GACGAACCGUGCGAACGUUAUUCGGAAUCACUGGGCUUAAAGCGCGUGUAGGCGGGCCGGCACGUCGGUCGCUGAAAUCCCCCGGCUCAACCGGGGAAGGGGCGCCGAUACGACCGGCCUGGAGGGGCGUAGGGGGAUCGGGAACUUCCGGUGGAGCGGUGAAAUGCGUUGAGAUCGGAAGGAACGCCCGUGGCGAAAGCGCGGUCCUGGACGCCUGCUGACGCUGAGACGCGAAAGCCAGGGAGGCGAAACGGG
rnacentral:rRNA from 1 species